AGGACAGUGCAAUAGAAAUUCAAUAUCUGGCAUCGUUGGUUUUUUUGGCUUUAUCCAUGAUAAACCUGGUAUUUCUAUUGAUACAGUA
rnacentral:snoRNA from 1 species